rnacentral:rRNA from 1 species
GACGGAGGGUGCAAGCGUUGUUCGGAUUGACUGGGCGUAAAGGGCGGGUAGGCGGCCACCGCAAGUCAGUUGUGAAAUCUCUGGGCUUAACCCAGAAAGGUCAACUGAUACUGCGGGGCUAGAGUGCAGAAGGGGCAACUGGAAUUCUCGGUGUAGCGGUGAAAUGCGUAGAUAUCGAGAGGAACACCGGUGGCGAAGGCGGGUCUCUGGGCCGAUACUGACGCUGAGGAGCGAAAGCGUGGGGAGCGAACAGG